rnacentral:rRNA from 1 species
CGCGCGGUUCUAUUUUGUUGGUUUAUAGGACCGCCGUAAUGAUUAAUAGGGACAGUCGGGGGCAUCAGUAUUCAACUGUCAGAGGUGAAAUUCUUGGAUCAGUUGAAGACUAACUACUGCGAAAGCAUUUGCCAAGGAUGUUUUCAUUAAUCAGGAACGAAAGUUAGGGGAUCGAAGACGAUCAGAUACCGUCGUAGUCUUAACCAUAAACUAUGCCGACUAGGGAUCGGACGGUGUUAUUCAUGACCCGUUCGGCACCUUACGAGAAAUCAAAGUGCUUGGGCUCCAGGGGGAGUAUGGUCGCAAGGCUGAAACUUAAAGAAAUUGACGGAAGGGCACCACCAGGGGUGGAGCCUGCGGCUUAAUUUGACUCAACACGG